rnacentral:rRNA from 1 species
UACAGAGGGUGCGAGCGUUAAUCGGAUUUACUGGGCGUAAAGGGUGCGUAGGUGGUAAAGCAAGUAAGAUGUGAAAUCCCUGGGCUUAACCUAGGAAGUGCAUCUUAAACUGCUUAACUAGAGUAUGGUAGAGGGUAGUGGAAUUUCCGGUGUAGCGGUGAAAUGCGUAGAGAUCGGAAGGAACGCCAGUGGUGAAGACGACUACCUGGACCAAUACUGACACUGAGGCACGAAAGCGUGGGGAUCAAACAGG